CGAUAAGUAAUAGUGAAUUGCAGAAUUCAGUGAAUCAUCGAAUCUUUGAACGCACAUUGCGCCCCCUGGCAUUCCGGGGGGCAUGCCCGUUCGAGCGUCAUUAAAUCCAAUCAAGCCUGGCUUGGUAUUGGGCGUCGGGGUCCCCCGCGCCUCAAUUUCACCGGCUGGCCGUCGCCCGUCUUAGCGUUGUGAUACACUUCUCGCUAGCGAUGGGACCGGACCACGCCGUUAGAACUCACGAAUUUCAAUCGAAAUUCAUCAAGGUUGACCUCGGAUCGGGUAGGAAUACCCGCUGAACUUAA
rnacentral:rRNA from 1 species